GAUGAAGAACGUAGCGAAAUGCGAUACUUGGUGUGAAUUGCAGAAUCCCGUGAACCAUCGAGUCUUUGAACGCAAGUUGCGCCCGAAGCCAUCAGGUUGAGGGCACGUCUGCCUGGGCGUCACAUAUCGUUGCCCAAUGCCUAUUGCAGUGCAAUAGGAAUUUCUAGGGCAAAUGAUGGCUUCCCGUGAGCGUUGUUGCCUCGCGGUUGGUUGAAAAUCGAGUCCUUGGUAGGGUGUGCCAUGGUAGAUGGUGGUCGAGUUAGAACGAUACCGAUCAUGUGCAUGCUCCCCAAAAUAUGGCCUCUAUGACCCACACGCGUCUUUUGACGCUCAUGACGAGACCUCAGGUCAGGCGGGGCUACCCGCUGAAUUUAAGCAUAUCAAUAAGCGGAGGA
rnacentral:misc_RNA from 1 species